GCAGGUUUGUGCCGUUGAAAUUUUCGUUUGUGCAGCUUUCGUCUUUGAGAUAUUAAAAGUUAUAAUUUUGGCCGAUGACGUCAUCCGCCCCCAUUUUGCUCCAAACAAGAAAUUUUUUGCUUUACCGCUAAUAUGUCGCCACCACCAACUGGUAUGUAAGAUGGACCACAAUGUCACCCAAGGAUUAUAUUAUACAAAUGACUAGAUUUGAUUUUACUUUAUUUGGCGCUUUCAGAGUUUAAGAUUCAGCUGAAUGUGACUGGGUAUAAUUAUGUCCUAAUUAUACCCAAUUAGGGGACAAUUAAUUUCACCUGCUGUAGGCUGUACUUUCUGUUUUAGUUCUUCGUCUUCCAGCACAUUCCUGUCAUGUAAGUCUUGUUUUCUGUGUCGUUUUUAUGCAAUUGAUGUUGCUAUGUUUUGGUAGAGAAGGUAUUAGAAAUCGUGUAUACAGUUAGAGUAAGACAAUAUUUCUGGUAAUUGUCUUUUUGUUUUUUUAUGAAGUUGCAUGUGCCUCUUGGUUUGCUAUUGACACACCCAAAUAUCUGUAGUGUGAGGCAAAGGGUUUCUAUCCUAAUUGAGAAGUAAUGAACCAUGAAAGUAACUGUUUUGAAAAUGCAAUUUAAUUAUACAGUCGAAGAAGAAACUAAGAAACUGUGUUGAUUUGAACAAUGAACUUUAACAAUUUAAACAACAACAAACAGUGCCUUCAUAAUCUGAAAUUUCUCCUGUCUUGAGUAGAAAACUUCUUUCAUUUGAGAUUUAGGCAGAGCUCAAAACUGUUGAAAGUCAAAAUAUGGAACAUUUGUCAUAAUAUGGAAGCCCAUUUCCGCCAUUAAAGAAAAAAUAAGACCAACUUGAAGUCAUAAUUUCAACUUUUAAAGUCAAAAUUAUGACUUCCUGUUGGUCUUUUAUUUUUUCCUUCAUGGUGGAAAUGGGCUUCCAUAAUAACUUGCAAAAAGGAAAAAAAUUAAUUCUGGUCAGGAGUAUGUAAACAUGGCAUGAAACUUUUUGCCUUUGGUCUGGUCUUCAAACUUUCUCGCCCUUUUUUCCCUCUCACAGAUCUGCUGUGUAUAACACUGCAUGUGGCAGUAUUUUCUUCUUUUCAGACACUGUCUUCACAACAUUUGCCAGGUCAUCAAAAAGCUCCCACACAAAUGGAGCUCUCCGGCAGUAUGCAGUGUAAUGUCCCAGGCCAUCUUUGGUCAAGCUUCCCCUGAAAGCGACGACUGCUCUCAAAGUAAAUUUUUUUCCUUGCAGAACCAUAGUGGAGGGAAAUUCACUCAAAGCAAAUUCAGUUGAAUUUGGAAGGUCUGUGUCAAUCCAUGCUAUUUCUCCGAUACUGUAGUUGUGAGUAACGGUUCCUGCACAGAGAGCAUUUCCUGAAGUGCUGGCUCCUGUUUUUAAUUCUGCUGGACAUUCUGAUUCAUUCUGCAGUGGUCUGAGGCAGGGAGACUGUGGAAGGAAGAGUCCUUUUUCUAUGGAAGUGUGAAGCUGAGCCAUACCAGAAUUCUUCAGGACAGAAAUGUCUGGUGAAACAAAUGAGCAAAUCCGCAUAUUUCCUUCGAUGAAGGAAAGGUGCCGAGAAAUGAAGCGAUCCACUCGAAUGGGCAAGUUCUCAUGUUUGAACAGGCCAUGUUUUAUAUUUUUGAAUUCGGCUUCAACAUUGGCUGAGCUUGCUGUGAGACUGGUGCUUUUGAAGAGGGGAACCAUUAUUCCUGUCCACAGUGGUAAGUAACUUGCAAGUCUUAUAAUGUGUGGCACAAUCUCAGGGAGGAAAUGAAUGUUAUCCCUAUCCCCAUUGGCUGCAGCAUGUGUCCUGCUCUCCUCACAAAUGUUUGACACCCAGUCUCGUAGGUCAGUCUGGAUGUCAUUACAUGGAUCCACUUGAUGAACUUCCUUUGUGUCUUCAUCUGGAAUUAUGAUGGAGUCUUCUGCAAUCUGGGUUUUCAGGUAUUUUUUGCACCUCUCUGAUUCAAGAGGGGUUCCAGAACUGUCAUCACCUUCUGCCUCACUGAGAGCCACGACAGUGAUGGCAUGUAUUAGCUGCUUUGCAUGGUCCAAGCUUUGUGCCUGAAGAAGCUUUGCUAUUCCCCUGACAAAGAAGUCUUUGACACGGUGUGACUUGUUUUUCAGGCAGUCCCACUGGCAGACCAUCUUUAUGCAGUGGGCAACAUCAACCCUGAUAUAACAGGGAGGAAGUUUUGCAGACUGGUUCCCAAGUAGCACAUGGAAGCAUUCAUCAAUGUAUGAUUUCAGGUUAGGACAAGGAGUGAAGGCCUUCACCAGAGCACCAAGAAUAGCCAGGGAAAAGUCACUCUCAGCUUCUUUUGAACACCUUGGUAUAAGAAGAUGUGGCCAGAUGUACCAUUUGGUCUUGCCAGUUUUCUGACAACUGAACCAGUUGCAUCAAAGCAAACUACUGAGGGACAUUUUUUGGUUGCCAGGUUUGGAAGGUGACUUGGCUCGGGAUCUCCAAUAUCCAUCAACUCUGAUGCCUUUGCUGACCUCCAUACAGAUGGUUCCAUCCUGCCUUCACACAACUCUUCUGAAAUCUGUGCACGAAGGGUUCCUGACAUGAAUCUUUUGGACUGGCCAGUGUGCAGGGAGAUGUCGGCGCCUUCAAUGGAACACUGGAGCACCAUUGGGCUGUUGACCGUUGGCUCUCUGUCACAUGUCAUUUUAACACAACUUUGACACUCUUUACAGAAACCUGUGAUGUCAAUGUACUUGCUAGCGACAGUUGGAUAAACUUUUGCUCUUUGGAAUACAAAUGUACAAGUGCUUUUCAACUUUUUCCAAACCAGAUCAUUAAUUAUAUGACUCCAUGUGCCAGGUUUUAAAA